CAGUCGCCACGGUAACACGUAGGGUGCGAGCGUUAAUCGGAAUUACUGGGCGUAAAGCGCACGUAGGCGGCUUGGUAAGUUAGAGGUGAAAGCCCGGAGCUCAACUCCGGAAUUGCCUUUAAGACUGCAGAGCUAGCAGGUGAGAGAGGUGAGUGGAAUUCCGAGUGUAGAGGUGAAAUUCGUAGAUAUUCGGAAGAACACCAGUGGCGAAGGCGGCUCACUGGCUCAUACUGGACGCUGAGGUGCGAAAGCGUGGGGAGCAAACAGGAUUAGAUACCCCAGUAGUCCCUGUCUCUUAUAC
rnacentral:rRNA from 1 species